rnacentral:rRNA from 1 species
GACGUAGGGCGCAAGCGUUGUCCGGAUUUAUUGGGCGUAAAGAGCUCGUAGGCGGUUUGUCGCGUCUGCUGUGAAAACUGGAGGCUCAACCUCCAGCCUGCAGUGGGUACGGGCAAACUAGAGUGCGGUAGGGGAGAUUGGAAUUCCUGGUGUAGCGGUGGAAUGCGCAGAUAUCAGGAGGAACACCGAUGGCGAAGGCAGAUCUCUGGGCCGUAACUGACGCUGAGGAGCGAAAGCAUGGGGAGCGAACAGG